rnacentral:tRNA from 1 species
CCCCCCUAUCAGCCUUCAGGAGCUCAAAGUGCAAAUUUGAGGAAGCACCGAAAGGGUGCCGGAGGCU